rnacentral:rRNA from 1 species
CCUACGGGUGGCAGCAGUGGGGAAUAUUGCACAAUGGGCGCAAGCCUGAUGCAGCAACGCCGCGUGAGGGAUGAAUGCCCUCUGGUUGUUAAGCUCUUUUCUCAAGGAAGAUAAUGGCUGUACUUGAGGAGGUAGCCCCGUCCAAUACCGUGCAAGCAGCGGUGGUAUUACGUCGGGGGCUGCGGUUAUCCGGAGUUACGGGGCGUAAGGGGGGCGUAGGGGGUUUCUAAGGUAAGAGGUAAAAGGCUCCGGCCCACCCGUAGAAAGCAUUUGAAACUGGCGAACUUGAGUACAGGAGAGGUGGGCGGAAUUCCUAGUGUAGCGGUGAAAUGCGUAGAUAUUACGAGGAACACCAGUUGCGAAGGCAGCUCACUGGACUGUAACUGACACUGAGGCACGAAAGCGUGGGGAGCAAACAGGAUUAGAUACCCUUGUAGUC